UGUGGGAGCGAGCCUGCUCGCGAUAGCGUCCGCUCAGUCAGCCCUGAUGUGACGGAUGGAUUGCUAUCGCGAGCAGGCUCGCUCCCACA
rnacentral:misc_RNA from 1 species